rnacentral:rRNA from 1 species
UACGUAGGGUGCGAGCGUUAAUCGGAAUUACUGGGCGUAAAGCGUGCGCAGGCGGUUGUGCAAGACAGAUGUGAAAUCCCCGGGCUUAACCUGGGAAUUGCGAUGGAGACUGCAAGGCUAGAAUCUGGCAGAGGGGGGGUAGAAUUCCACGUGUAGCAGUGAAAUGCGUAGAGAUGUGGAGGAACACCGAUGGCGAAGGCAGCCCCCUGGGUCAAGAUUGACGCUCAUGCACGAAAGCGUGGGGAGCAAACAGG